CGUAAACGACUCUCGGCAACGGAUAUCUCGGCUCACGCAUCGAUGAAGAACGUAGCAAAAUGCGAUACUUGGUGUGAAUUGCAGAAUCCCGUGAACCAUCGAGUUUUUGAACGCAAGUUGCGCCCGAAGCCUUUUGGAUGAGGGCACGUCUGCCUGGGCGUCACAU
rnacentral:rRNA from 1 species